CAGUCUGUCAAACUGAACAGGAAUGACCGUUUGCUUUUCCCAUUUCUGUGACUUGGACAUCUCCGUUGCUGUGUGGUUUCUUUUAAAAUGAGAUUGUAUUAACCAUAUCCCACUCGGCUUCGUAAUGGCUCCAACGUUCCACUCCUCAAUGAGCUCUUUCUCUUGGGGCCUGGUCCAUUUGACAGCUGAACUGGAGUCCUGUCCAGCAUAGCGAAUACUAGAAGAACCCAGUGCAUCAUCCAAUGGACUUCAGUCCACUAUUACUUCUGCAUCCUGAUAUAAGUUGUUUGGUCACUGGUGUUUGAAAAGAUGAGUGGAUAUAUUCCUUCCCUUUCAUAUCUAAUGUAACCCCAGUUCCUAACCAACCCCUGUGAAACAGCACGACAGGCAGCUCCAUGGAAACACCCGAGAGACACCUGGGAAAUGUUUUAACAAAUGCCUUUCUAGACAAGCAUCCACACGUGCCUUUCUGCUCACCUGAAUUUGCUCAUCUAAAACUCCCAGUGGCCCUGCGAGAGGCCCUCAUUCCUGUCUCACCCGUUAGAAAGCAUUCUCAGAGAUCAGUACCCUGCCCCAUCACCCAGUUGGGAAUGGAGACCUAGAGUUCCAGCCCUGGACCGCUGGGUUUCAGAACCCAGACCCGUGAUCACCUGCACAUUGCCAGGGAGGAUGGCCUGGAUGAGACAGAGGAGCCUUCAAGUUCCGUGACACACAGUUUCCUCUGAUUAAAGAGUCGAACACACGAUAAGCAGAACACAGAUUUUCCUAAACUGGAUGGACCCAGUGUAUCACAAAGGUACUUUAAAGACAGAAAUAGAAGAGGAAAGCAGGAGCCCACUCGUUUCUCCCUCUCCACUAACUCUUAGAAUUGCAUUUAAGGAUCCUCCACAUCUUUUCAGAUUUGGUAGCUCAUUUCUUUAUAGCUGAGUAAUAUUCCAUUGUUGGAUGUAUCAUAAUUUAGCUGGUCACCUACCAAAGGAUACCAGGUUGUGCCAGUUCUGGAUAAACCUGCUGUCACUAACCAUGCGCAGGUUUUUGUAUGGACAUCUGUUUCAAUUUACCUGGGCUUUAAAAACAUCUGCUCAUCUAGAAAGCCGUCAAGAGCCAUCAAAGGACUCUCAAACCACAGGUCAUCUCUGAAUUGUAAACAUCAAUGCUCAGUGUUUUCGGGGUAUUUGAGUGUGGGUUUUGGCAGAGGGUAGAGAAGGCGAGUUAGAGGAAACAGCAGGUGGUGGUGAAUGAAGUAUCGAUCUGGACACCCUUGUGUCCUGUUGAUUUCAAGACCACAGAGGGCUUGUGUCUGAUUCAUUUUAAUAAGCACAGAGCUUGAUGUAUGGGGUGCUGUAGUGGGACAGAAUCAAGGGGUUUAUUAGAUCUCCAUGGUGGACGAGUCCUCCACGGCUGUAUGGCUGUCUGUACCCUGGAGCUGGACUGUAUAGCUGAGGGCUGCAGCUCCUCUGCCCAAGGAGAUGGGAGCCACAGAACAAGAGGGAGCAAGAAUAUAGCACCAAGCCAGGUGGCAGUAAUCCCAGCACUCCGGGGCUGAGGCAGGAGG